rnacentral:rRNA from 1 species
UACGUUCCCGGGCCUUGUACACACCGCCCGUCACGCCAUGGAAGCUGGGGGUGCCUGAAGUCGGUGACCGCAAGGAGCUGCCUAGGGUAAAACUGGUAACUAGGGCU